AUUGAACGCUGGCGGUAUGCUUUACACAUGCAAGUCGAACGGCAGCACGGGGCAACCUGGUGGCGAGUGGCGAACGGGUGAGUAAUAUAUCGGAACAUGUCCGGAAGUGGGGGAUAACGUAGCGAAAGUUACGCUAAUACCGCAUAUGCCCUGAGGGGGAAAGGGGGGGAUCGCAAGACCUCUCGCUUUCGGAGUGGCCGAUAUCGGAUUAGCUAGUAGGUGAGGUAAAGGCUCACCUAGGCGACGAUCCGUAGCUGGUCUGAGAGGACGACCAGCCACACUGGAACUGAGACACGGUCCAGACUCCUACGGGAGGCAGCAGUGGGGAAUUUUGGACAAUGGGCGCAAGCCUGAUCCAGCCAUACCGCGUGAGUGAAGAAGGCCUUCGGGUUGUAAAGCUCUUUCAGAGGGAAAGAAACGGCCUCGGCUAAUAAUCGGGGCUAAUGACGGUACCGUAAGAAGAAGCACCGGCUAACUACGUGCCAGCAGCCGCGGUAAUACGUAGGGUGCGAGCGUUAAUCGGAAUUACUGGGCGUAAAGCGUGCGCAGGCGGUUUCGUAAGACAGAUGUGAAAUCCCCGGGCUUAACCUGGGAACUGCAUUUGUGACUGCGAGACUAGAGUGUAGCAGAGGGGGGUAGAAUUCCACGUGUAGCAGUGAAAUGCGUAGAUAUGUGGAGGAAUACCGAUGGCGAAGGCAGCCCCUGGGCUAACACUGACGCUCAUGCACGAAAGCGUGGGGAGCAAACAGGAUUAGAUACCCUGGUAG
rnacentral:rRNA from 1 species